rnacentral:lncRNA from 1 species
GUUUAAGAGCUGCUAUAAUAAAAUAAUCACUCCAGAUAUUUAAGAUAAUGUAUUCUUUGGGAAAACUAGAGUUUUUGGUACAAAAUUCAAAAGGUACAAGUAAAAAAUCUAAAGUCUUGACAGUCAAGGAAAUCUUUAUUUAAAAAACAAAUCUCAAACUUAAAAUUUUCCUUUCCUCUAACCUCUUAAGUUGUGACAGAGACAAUCAUUUUUCUCUAGAAGUCAUAUUCUCUUCUUCCUCAGCUGCGUUCCUAGCCACUCCAGACCUGGCAGUCAAAGAGGGUACUUUUGUCCUUUCUCUUUUUUGUCAACAGCAGAUAGAUGACAAAGGCUGCUCUGGUAGACUCCAAGGCUUUCUUAAUGUCAUAGAAAUACUAGAUGAAAAGAACCUGGAUCCCUGAAUGUCUGUGUGGAGAUUUCCUGCUGUCACUCAUUGGAUCAACAAUAACAUCUAUUGUAUUAAUGCCCAAGAACCCUGGGAAUCAUGAAAGCCCUGGCCAAGCCAAAUGCAUAGGGCUCCAGUUUG